UACGUAGGGUCCGAGCGUUGUCCGGAAUUAUUGGGCGUAAAGGGCUCGUAGGCGGUCUGUCGCGUCGGGAGUGAAAACUUACAGCUUAACUGUGAGCGUGCUUCCGAUACGGGCAGACUUGAGGUAUUCAGGGGAGAACGGAAUUCCUGGUGUAGCGGUGAAAUGCGCAGAUAUCAGGAGGAACACCGGUGGCGAAGGCGGUUCUCUGGGAAUAUCCUGACGCUGAGGAGCGAAAGUGUGGGGGAGCGAACAGG
rnacentral:rRNA from 1 species